UUAUUUUUAGUAUUUUAACUAUUUUAUUUUUUUGGAAUUGAGGGUUAACAUAUAAAUAAUGAUACUUAUUUGCGGUACCAUUGUGACUUCUGUGAAUUAAAAUUUCUCGCAUUCUCGCUGUGGAAGUUUGGGCUGUAGUUUGGAUUGCAUCCUCGCAAAUCUCGCAGGCGAUUUGCAAGUUACAUACAAAGAAUUCUACGUGAACAUAGCUGUUGCCCUAAUAGAGCAAAUGGACAUUAUGCACGCGUGUCGCUGCUGCCUGCGGCGUCCUCCGGACAAGGACCUGACGACGCCGUACGCACUUUUCGGGAAAACGGAGAUAUAUGCCGACAUGAUUAAAGACUGCUUCGAUAUACAUCUGGCACUGGAUGCCCCGGGCUCGUGCGGCAUCUGCUCUGCGUGCGUGGGCCGCCUGCGAGACGCGAGCGACUUCAAGCUGCAAGUGCAGCGCAGCCAGGCAGAGCUGCAGGCGCUGCUAUAUAAAGCUGAUCCAGUGGUCAAAUCUGAGCAAACUGAAGACAAUGUUGAGGAUAAAUUUGUUUAUGAUGUGUUAUAUGAAGAGCCCAUACUGUUUGAGCAGUCAGAGAUUGGCGAGAUGGCCAAUGAAGUCAUGGAACAAGACCCUCUUUUCAAGUCGGAGGCUGAUGAUGCGAUGAGUGACGAUGAUACAACAGCAGGGGUGUGUUCGGAAGGCAGCGCUGCUUACGGUGACACAACUGACACAACUGUUCAUACAUACAGUCGAGCCCAAGUAGCCAAACCAUUCGGCUGCAAACACUGUAAAGAACGAUUCAAAAAUAAGUGUACUUUAAAAGAGCACAUUCUACGCAAACAUUUGUCAAUCUCAACCGGGCCAAAACUAUUUGCUUGUGGUUUUUGUAGUUCUACAUUCCGAACUAAAUUGCUUGUAUUAGAGCACGAGAGAAUCGAACACGGUGUUACAAGUUUCAUGUGUGGUGAAUGUGGGCAUAUAACGAUUGAAAAAAGCAGUUUGGAAGCUCAUUUAAAAACUCACUCUACGGACAUUGUUAGCUGUACUCAAAGCAGUUAUGUAAGUCAGUCUAAGAGUGAUAUUCCCGAACACCUAGUGAAAAACAUUGCUGAUCUUCUAUCGACACACAAACAAAAGCAUCAGAAGUUACAUACUCUAAGAGAACACCUGCGAAUAGCACCCAAACGAAGUUCUCAUUCCAAUAUUGACUCCACAAUGAAGACGCUAAUUAUUUCUAUGCAUAUUGACGGGCUAAAUAAAUCUGAAAUUGCUAGAGAAACUGGUUUAAAUAGGAAAACUGUUAGUAUGUGGGUCGAUCGAUAUCAAAAAGAAGGUUCUCUGUUACCCCGGCCUAAGACUGGUAGACCAUGCCUCAUAGACACAAAGCAACGCGAGUUUCUGGUGCGGGAAUACAUGGAAGAUGGCGGCAGGCAGACGAAACUGUAUGCAGAUCUGUUCGGCGCAUCUCCACUCACGGUGCGACGUGUGCUUCGUAAAGAGGGACUUCGUUUCCACAAACCUGCUGUGAACCCUAAACGUUCUAAGAAAAAUGGAAUAGACGACAAGUAGAAAUACGGAGUAAAUUGACAGAGAAAUAGUUUUAUUAGAUGCCCCAACGCCCAAAAAUUACAUAAAAUGAUUUGUUGCUUACUAUAUCAGUGAAAAGUAGAAACUUUCUUACGCCUUACUAUAACAAGGCCUGGAGCCGAAUAUUUUCUCUAGUUAAGAGUAACCUCCUGUUAGACCUGUUAUGAAGAUACUAAAUAUUUAUUUAUUGUGUUCCGACGGCGCUGUUUACAGUGACACAACUGUUCAUACAUACAGUCGAGACAAACCAUACGGCUGCAAAUAUUGUAAAGAACGUUUCAAAAAUAAGUGUACUUUAAAAGAACACCUUCAUC
rnacentral:misc_RNA from 1 species